rnacentral:lncRNA from 1 species
UUCUGUUCACUGCCAAUUGUAUUCUACUUUACACGCACACAAACGCCAGUCAUAAUUUUGCUGAAAGCCUUUGCCUGGUAGUAAAAAUGGCUUCCGUUUGUGCUUCCCCUGCCGUUGCAGCCAUCUCAUCCCCCAGGCAAGUUCUCUUAACACACCCAUUAAUUGAUUUUCACAUAGUUUAAGUGCGUGAUUAUUUAGUUAAUUAAAGUGAUAUUGCAGUUCUCAGAAGAGUAGAUCAGUUGCGGGAGCAACAAAGGCUUCUUUCCUUGGUGGGAAGAAGCUGAAAUUGAGAAAAAACGGAGCAACAGCGGGAACACGAUCGGUUUCAGUGAGUGCGGCUGCAGCUGAUCCUAACAGGCCUCUCUGGUUCCCAGGCAGCACUCCUCCUGAAUGGCUCGAUGGUAGCCUCCCCGGAGACUUCGGCUUCGAUCCUCUUGGUCUUGGUAAGAUAAAUGUAGAAAACUAAUCGUACGUCUCAAGUACGUGCACAUUGUUAAUUAGUUUGUUAUCCACAGGAUCUGAUCCUGAGACGCUGAGAUGGAACGUGCAAUCAGAAAUUGUGCACUGCAGAUGGGCAAUGUUAGGAGCUGCAGGAAUUUUCAUUCCGGAAUUGUUAACAAAACUUGGAAUCCUCAACACUCCAUCCUGGUACACAGCUGGGGAGCUAGAGUACUUCACAGACACCACCACCCUGUUCAUUGUUGAGAUGAUAUUCAUAGGCUGGGCAGAGGGCAGACGGUGGGCCGACAUUAUAAAGCCAGGCUGUGUGAACACUGACCCGAUCUUCCCCAACAACAAGCUCACCGGCACCGAUGUUGGGUACCCAGGUGGGCUUUGGUUUGACCCACUUGGCUGGGGAUCCGGUUCGCCCGAGAAGGUAAAGGAGCUGAGGACUAAGGAGAUCAAGAAUGGAAGAUUGGCUAUGUUGGCUGUGAUGGGUGCUUGGUUCCAGCACAUUUACACCGGCACCGGCCCCAUUGACAAUCUCAUUGCUCACCUUGCUGAUCCUGGUCAUGCCACCGUUUUUGCUGUAAGUUAAUUACAGCACCUAGCACUCUACUCAUUGUAUGUAUCCAAUUAAGUGUUAAUUAUAUUUAUUUACUAAUUGGCGAUGAUGCUUUGUGGUUAAUUUGAUUCAGGCCUUCACCCCCAAGUGAGAUGAUGACGAACAAAGGGAGAGAAAUUUGGGCCAAGUGGAAGCUUGAGAUCAAAGGAAUUGGUGUUUCUCUUAGGGAAAGGUUGUAUGAUUAGAACUUGUAUUAAUUGCCUCUAUCUAUGUACAAAGACUUGUGUGAUCACUUAGAUGCCAUGAAUAUAAAAAAUAUUCAGGUGGAAACGAAACUUGUCUAUAAAUUAAAACUUAAAUACACCAUAAAUUUUCGAAUAUCAAAAGCACACGAGAGACGACUAAUUGCUGCAGGGUAAAAAAGUCUUUUCAAAUUGUGUUUAGUAAAUCACUCCAGAAUCGCAAGAUCAUCUUCAAUUACAAGAAUAGAAUUGGUUUGAUCAAUAUUUGUCCCAUUAAUGGUGUUGAAGAUUUCUUUUUGAGAUAAACUAAAAGGAUGGUUAAUUGUCGAUCGUCAUUGAAGAAACACUUCAUCUUGAUGAACGAUCGGCAAGUCAAUUAAUUCGCUUUGAUUAGUUGUUUUAACCCUUCAAACAAAAGUUGCAUUGGCGAUAGAUAAUACGUAUUUUCAGGUCAUAGAAAAUAGCUUUAACAAUCUCUAAAGAAAAUGUGACCCCGGCAAAAGAUGAUAUAUUUUAGGCCCCGAAACAGUAGCAUUGAAAACUAAAACAUCAAUUAUAUGCUUACUACACGUUGUAUUACAGUUAGCCCACCAUCAUUACAGAACAAAAAAAUUUCACUAUAAUACUGAAGAAAAUUUUGUCAUAAUUUUAUCUCUUAUGAGCUUUAUACUAACUAAUUGUUAUACAUAUAUCAUUAUUCAAACUAAAAAGGCUUGUUCAUAUUUGUUUGCGGCUGAUUUUGGGUCAAUGAAUAAAAAACCACAAAACCAACCCAAGAGCAAUAAAUUUAUAUUUUUGUCGGGGAGCAGGGUACCUCACUUGUUCGGCACGUGCGGGCUGUUUGGGCUUUUUGUAGAGUGGAGGAGGAUUGAGAUGACGGAGGAUAUGGAGGGGGUCUGACUUUAGGUGCAGAGGGCUGGUGAAACUCGCCUUAAACCUGCGAAACAACCAAACAAAAGUCAGAGGUGGAGCCGGGGGUGGCCGGCGACCACACUCCGACGCUCAAGUCAGAGUUGGGUUAUCUCAGGUUAGAGAGCUUGCAAGCUCUCGGUAAUGGAGAUUUUGAGGUUGAAGAAACCCUCGUUUCUUUUUGUGGUGAGUGUGUUCACUUCCUCGAUAAAAAUCAAACCUGAGUAUUUAUAUGGUGUACCCCAAUCGCCGUGCCACCUGGCGCUAUUUUAGUGGCGUUCCCUGCUGUCAUGUCAGGAAUAUUCUUAUUUUCAUGCGUAUGGCGGCUUAGACGUUUCAAAAAUAUCAGUGGAGAGCAAGUUUGUGCCGUAUUCACGUGCUGAGCGUAGUGGAGUGGUCCCGCGUACCUCUGCAAUUCCGUUGUAAUUUUGUAGGUGUAGCAGGAAAAAGCUGGUGGUCCCAACUGUCACAAUAUCACACUUUUGGCGGAUUUGCUGUCGUGACAGGCGGCUGUCUCGUCUUUUGCGGCGCAAGAUUUCCUUAUUUUUCAACAUGCAUCAAACCGAUCUUUUUGCGAUUCAGGGCCCACAUAUCCCUUCACAUAUUUACGAAGAUUUUUAUAUCCUUUCAUGGUGUACCCGAGGUACCCCCGGAGUCCUUAGGGUAGCCGGGAUACCUAGAGUAUCCGAGGUACCCAAGGUACCCGAGACAAAUUAAUCUCUUAAAUAUCGACACGUGGCGCUUCAUUAUUGGUCUCAUAUUUCCUUCCCAAACAACAUCCCCCUAGUUUCUUUGUGGCGAAUGUAAUUGAGGCACAAGAAACUCUUGGAGGAACUGUGUCCCUGGUUUUUUUUUUUUUUUUUUUUUAACGAUGGGAACGAACAGUUGUCUUCAUAUCUCCCUCUCCUUUUCUUGGGAAGUGGCAGCCGUCUGACAAGCAGUUUGAAUUUUAAAAAAAAUCAAACUCACGCAAACAUCCCUGAUCUUCUUUUCGUGCAGAGUGCACUGUCAGGUUUAAUUAACACCCCUGAUGUAAAUGUCAAUCUCUUGUUGUUUAUUUUGAAAAUCCCAACAUAAUCUCCCAACAAAUUUAAUUACUCACAGUGGCUUCUUGCUUGCUCUGGCUUUUAAAAUUCAAAAACUAGCCAAAUCAUUUCAACCUCCAGCCUCACAUAUUUUUUUUUUAUAUAUAAAUCACUGACUGCACGUUUUUAUUUUCCCUUUAUUCUACAAUCCCCAAACACUUUUCAUUUUCUUCUCCAAACUCCAACGCCACCCCAUCUCCACUUUUUCUUCUUUAUUCUACUUUUUCUUCUUGUCCUUUCGUCUUCCAUCUCCUUUUUUCUCUUUUUUUUUUUUUUAGUCGGCCUUGGCUCCCGUGAUUUCCAGUGGUGGCGUGACGACGGCGUUCGACUGGUGGUGCAGUGAUCUCCUUGUGGUAAGCCAUCUUCUCCCUCCAUUUUGCUUAUUCGUUUCUUCCAGUGGCCUCUUCUUCUUCUUCUCUCUUUUUUUUUUUAAUCCAUGCUCCUCUCUUUUUGUUUUCUUUUAAAUCAUCCUGGAGGCUUUUUUUUUUUUUUUGACUUCCUCUCCUUUGCUUUUUUUUUUAAUCUCCAAACUUCUCCUCUUUUUUUUUGUACGUCCAAGCUCCUUCCCUCUUUUUUUUUUUUUUACUUCCUCUUCUUUACCCCCCCUUUUUUUUUUAUCUCCAGGCUUCUCCUUUUUUUUUUUCUUUGACUUUCUCUUUUUUUUUUAUAUCUCCAGACUUCUCUCUUUUUUUUUUUUUUUACGUCCAAGCUUCUUUUUUUUUUUAUAUCUCCAGAUUUCUCCUUUUUUUUUUGUACGUCCAAGCUUCUGCUUUGCUUUUUUUUUUUUUUGACUUCCUCUCUCUUUUUUUUUGUUGGAUAGGUAUGGACCCUUUUGGCGAAGAUUUUGACGCCUUCUUCAGUCGCAUGAGCGGCAGCUCCUCCGGUACCUUGGGUACCUCCGCAAAAGGUGACCGACCUCCCGUCGUUCCAGGCGGCAAAGGCAAAUUGCCAGUCUCCUCUCUUGGGGGUUCUCGGGGUACCCCAGCUACCCAUAAGAGAAAGCUUGGCUCUCUUUUCUCGGCUCCUGGAGACCUUAUGGAGGGCGAGCUGGAUCCGGUGGCUAACAAGCGGAUAUCGCACCUGACUGAUUGCUUCCUUCAUUCCUCUGAGAGUAUUUCCACAGACAUGGCAAUGGAGGCGGAUAAAUUAGAUUUAAAUGAGCGCUAUAGCCGAGCGCUCAAAGUUUGUCAUGACGUAAGUGCCUCUCACUCUUUUCUUUUCCUCUUCCUUUUUUUUAUCGUCCUGACUCCCUUUCCUUUUCUUUAUUAUUAUUUGUGUAGGCGGCUUUCUACCUUAGCCACGGUCUCCGAGACCUUAGUGGCAUCUCGGCUGUACAGACCGAGGUAGAGAGGCUGCGAGGUGAGGUUAGGCUCGGCCAGUCUCGGGAAGAGAAGCUAGGAGAGGAGGUCAGGGCUUUGCAAAGGCGCUUGGAUGACCACGCCCGUGAGAACAGUUGAUUGUCUAGGAAGUUGGAAGAGGUGGAAUCUAAGCACGGCGAGCUACUAUCUCGCCAACCGGAGAUGAUGGACAAGGCCUUCACUCUUAUCAUGACUGAGGUUUGGAGCGUCGAGCCUGAGUUGGUGGUACCCCGGGUGGAGAAAUGGGUGGACAAGUCGGCCAUCCUGAAAGUGAUAGAGGAUAAAAGGGCUACCCAAGCUCCACCA